AGGUUAAGCUAGAAAGGGCGCACGGUGGAUGCCUUGGCACUAGGAGCCGAUGAAGGACGGGGCAAACGCCGAAACGCUCCGGGGAGCUGUAAGCAAGCGUUGAUCCGGAGAUGUCCGAAUGGGGGAACCCACUGUCCGUAAUGGGGCAGUAUCCAUGCCUGAAUCCAUAGGGCAUGGAGGGCACACCCGGGGAACUGAAACAUCUUAGUACCCGGAGGAGAAGAAAGCAAACGCGAUUCCCUGAGUAGCGGCGAGCGAAACGGGAACAGCCCAAACCAAGAGGCGUGCCUCUUGGGGUUGUAGGACCGCUCAUUGUGGGAGUGAGAAAGGAACGGGGUAGACGAACCGGUCUGGAACGGCCGGCCAGAGAAGGUGACAGCCCUGUAGUCGAAACUUCGUUCCCUCCCGAGCGGAUCCUGAGUACGGCGGGACACGGGAAAUCCCGUCGGAAGCAGGGAGGACCAUCUCCCAAGGCUAAAUACUCCCUAGUGACCGAUAGUGCACCAGUACCGUGAGGGAAAGGUGAAAAGCACCCCGGAAGGGGAGUGAAAGAGAACCUGAAACCGUGUGCCUACAAGUAGUCAGAGCGCGUUCAUGCGUGAUGGCGUGCCUUUUGUAGAAUGAACCGGCGAGUGACGAUGGCGUGCGG
rnacentral:rRNA from 1 species